AUAGAAUUCGCUGCCAUAUAUUUUGAGGAUUUGCUGGAGAAGAGGGAAGCCACUGGUAUAGACCCUGCAGACUGGGCAGCAAAAUUGGAGGAUCGAUUCUACAACAAUCACAUUUUUAAGGAGGUACGAAAAACUAUACCUGACGCUGAAGAGAAACAACCCCCCAUAACGAUUGAUACAGCGUAUCAAGAAAAAGACUUAGCUGUAACAGACAAGCUAGAGGACACUGUUGGUUCUCGAAAUAAAUGCAUAAAAGUGCCAAAGGAUUUGUCAU